CCUACGGGAGGCAGCAGUGAGGAAUAUUGGUCAAUGGGCGAGAGCCUGAACCAGCCAAGUCGCGUGAGGGAGUACUGCCCUAUGGGUUGUAAACCUCUUUUGUCGGGGAGCAAAAGCCGGACGUGUCCGGCUGUGAGAGUACCCGAAGAAAAAGCAUCGGCUAACUCCGUGCCAGCAGCCGCGGUAAUACGGAGGAUGCGAGCGUUAUCCGGAUUUAUUGGGGUAAAAGGGUGCGCAGGCGGAUUUUUAAGUCAGCGGUCAAAUCGUGGGGCUCAACCCCAUCCAGCCGUUGAAACUGGGGAUCUAGAGUGUGCGAGAGGUAUGCGGAAUGCGUGGUGUAGCGGUGAAAUGCAUAGAUAUCACGCAGAACCCCGAUUGCGAAGGCAGCAUACCGGUGCACAACUGACGCUCAGGCACGAAAGCGUGGGUAUCGAACAGGAUUAGAUACCCUAGUAGUC
rnacentral:rRNA from 1 species